AGGCUGCAACCGCCUGCAUGAAGUCGGAAUUGCUAGUAAUCGCGGAUCAGCAUGCCGCGGUGGAAUACGUUCCCGGGCCCUUGUACACACCGCCCGUCACACCAUGGGAGCCGGUAAUACCCGAAGUCAGUAGUCCAACCUCGUGAGGACGCUGCCGAAGGUAGGAUUGGCGACUGGGGUGAAGUCGUAACAAGGUACC
rnacentral:rRNA from 1 species